rnacentral:rRNA from 1 species
GAUGAACGCUGGCGGCGUGCCUAAUACAUGCAAGUCGAGCGAACAGACGAGGAGCUUGCUCCUCUGACGUUAGCGGCGGACGGGUGAGUAACACGUGGAUAACCUACCUAUAAGACUGGGAUAACUUCGUGAAACCGGAGCUAAUACCGGAUAAUAUAUUGAACCGCAUGGUUCAAUAGUGAAAGACGGUUUUGCUGUCACUUAUAGAUGGAUCCGCGCCGCAUUAGCUAGUUGGUAAGGUAACGGCUUACCAAGGCAACGAUGCGUAGCCGACCUGAGAGGGUGGUCGGCCACACUAGAACUGAGACACGGUCCAGACUCCUACGGGAGGCAGCGGUAGGGAAUCUUCCGCAAUGGGCGAAAGCCUGACGGAGCACCGCCGCGUGAGUGAUGAAGGUCUUCGGAUCGUAAAACUCUGUUAUUAGGGAAGAACAAAUGUGUAAGUAACUAUGCACGUCUUGACGGUACCUAAUCAGAAAGCCACGGCUAACUACGUG